UAUGUGACGUCACAGCCUGCUGCCACUAGUGCCACACGUGGUGGAAUCCACCUAGUAGUACACACACACACAUUGUGCUGCCUACUCGCGUCGUGUCGACUCCGUUUCCUCGCUUGGCUCCUGGGAAAGGCAUGGAUUGGAAUGACCUUGGGGCCAUGAAACGGACAUGGAGGCUGCAGUGAUGACCGAAGUGUGUGUGUGACAGCAGCAUGCGCCUAGCCGCAGCAGGCAGCACGAGACGUCAUUGGGCAGCAGUGAGCAGCAGCGCAGCAAGUCGUGCCUGGUCGCAGCAAGUCGUGCCUGGUCGCAGCAUUUGGCAUCCUGAGAAGCCCGUAGUGAUGAGGGCUGCUGGGCGGCCUGGGCCGCAAGGGAGAGGCGCCAGGCGGUCACCGUCACACGGCCGGGGAGCGGUUGCAGCUGGAGUUUUUCCAUGGCCUUCGCAUGGAGCCUUGGCAUGAAGAUCGACCACGUGCCGACGGCCUGAAGAUGUGGUUAACAUUUCCUUUGUAAGUAUUACAGGUCUGGGCAUUGGCCAAAGAAGGUGGGGACAGGUGGCCUUAUUGACUGUGGUCCUGACUAGAUAGGAGAUGAGCACAUGUGACGGAGGCCAACUAGCAGAGUUGGCGUGGAACGUUAGUAAACCUCCCUCCCAAAAGCCUCAUACAGUGUCGAUGCCGUUGGGCUGGGGGACUGAUCCUUAAGUCCAGCGGUUCGAUUCCCGAUGGGGAGGUACAGAUGCAAGAUGACCUCCGUCACACACACAUGGGGACAAUCACACUAAUUUAAUACUUUUCACAUUAGGGGCCAAGCUGAUGACACUGCCUGCUGGAGAGGGGCUGAGUCUGUAAGAUCACUUAAGGUUUUUUUUUUUUUAAAUUAUUAUUAUUAUUAUUAUUCACCAGAAGGCCAAACGUGGUGCUGCUGGGCAGGGGAGCAUGGAGCCUCUCGGAGGUGUGUGUGCGUGUGCAUGCAUGACCGACCUUAUGCACUUUUCUCUUGGACCAGGGACUUCUGUGUGUGUGUGUGUGUGUGUGUGUGUGUGUGUGUGUGUGUGUGUGUGUGUGUGUGUGUGUGUGUGUGUGUGUGUGUGUGUGUGUGUGUUUGCGCACUGCCAUCCCUCUAUGCUGAAAGAAGACCAGGUCUUUGGUGUGGAUGGUUGUUUGCCCAUGUUUUUCGUUGUGGCGUGUGUGGAUGAUGACUGAUACCCAACAGGUAACGGAUGACAGACGCAGGACUGACGUGAAGACCUGGGGAUGUGCGUGACGAGAUGGACCCGGCUGAGUACAGCUGCACACACGGAUACAAUUGAUAAGGUCUGAAAAUUGUUCUGUAAAACUAUGUCAAGAGUAGACAGCAAGAUGAUCGUGCUCCAGAGCUCUGCAACAUGCGUUAUCUGCUCUAUGCCGCUUACUGUAUUGUAUUUGGCAAAUGUACUGCAUUGGAUAUUGGAAAUGGACGACAGUCUCUACGACUCUUCUUCAAAAAGCACAUGCAGGGUUUUCAGCCAACACAUACGGUGGGUGGAUUGAAAAUCCAUCAUUAAAUCCAACAUUAGCCCAGUUCUUGGAAUACCGCCCUGGUUGAUAUUUUGCAACUUGCAUGGCUGUAUUGUUGCUAUGCUGCAUUUUGGACUUGAAGUGAUACUGUCCCAUUUAUAGAAAUAAGCUCAUUUUACACCUCUCCUUGAGUUAAAUGAUUGGGUUUUACCUUUCUCCUGUACUUCAUGCCGUUGUCUCAGCACGACAGUACAAAGUUUACCCUAAAGCUGGCGGCUAGCUGGUCACAUAGGACUCAAUGUUAACUGCUAGCUUGU